rnacentral:lncRNA from 1 species
AGCUUAAUUAAAAAUGAAGCUCUUAUAUUUAUUGUUUUUGUCUUUUCUACUGAUUGCCGGCAUUGCCGCUGAUAUUGAGAAUGAUGGAACGGAACAGCCGCCUUUCAUGAUUCUCGAUAGACUUCUACCGGCGAGUAAAAUGAUAAAGAUUUACAAAGAUAACAAAAAAGGGACAACACCAAUACAGCCUUGAUUAAUGGGUUUAAGAAGAAAAGUACAAAUAAAGCGCCACCUUUCAUAUAUCACACAAAUAUUCUACCGCGGAGUUAACUCGAACAUCUUUAC